AGACCCGAAACCCGGUGAUCUAGCCAUGGGCAGGUUGAAGGUUGGGUAACACUAACUGGAGGACCGAACCGACUAAUGUUGAAAAAUUAGCGGAUGACCUGUGGCUGGGGGUGAAAGGCCAAUCAAACCGGGAGAUAGCUGGUUCUCCCCGAAAGCUAUUUAGGUAGCGCCUCGUGAAUUCAUCUCCGGGGGUAGAGCACUGUUUCGGCUAGGGGGCCAUCCCGGCUUACCAACCCGAUGCAAACUGCGAAUACCGGAGAAUGUUAUCACGGGAGACACACGGCGGGUGCUAACGUCCGUCGUGAAGAGGGAAACAACCCAGACCGCCAGCUAAGGUCCCAAAGUCAUGGUUAAGUGGGAAACGAUGUGGGAAGGCCCAGACAGCCAGGAUGUUGGCUUAGAAGCAGCCAUCAUUUAAAGAAAGCGUAAUAGCUCACUGGUCGAGUCGGCCUGCGCGGAAGAUGUAACGGGGCUAAACCAUGCACCGAAGCUGCGGCAGCGAACGUAUCACCCAAGACAACUUUGCGGAGUUGACGAUUGACGGAGCGAAGCGACGUCAAAGCGUUCAUUAAAGUCGAGUUGGCUUAGGGAUACGUUCGUUGGGUAGGGGAGCGUUCUGUAAGCCAGUGAAGGUGUGUCGUGAGGCAUGCUGGAGGUAUCAGAAGUGCGAAUGCUGACAUAAGUAACGAUAAAGCGGGUGAAAAGCCCGCUCGCCGGAAGACCAAGGGUUCCUGUCCAACGUUAAUCGGGGCAGGGUGAGUCGACCCCUAAGGCGAGGCCGAAAGGCGUAGUCGAUGGGAAACGGGUUAAUAUUCCCGUACUUGGUGUUACUGCGAAGGGGGGACGGAGAAGGCUAUGUUGGCCGGGCGACGGUUGUCCCGGUUUAAGCGUGUAGGUGUGUGUUCCAGGUAAAUCCGGUUCACUUUAACACUGAGGCGUGAUGACGAGGCACUACGGUGCUGAAGCAACAAAUGCCCUGCUUCCAGGAAAAGCCUCUAAGCAUCAGGUAACAUCAAAUCGUACCCCAAACCGACACAGGUGGUCAGGUAGAGAAUACCAAGGCGCUUGAGAGAACUCGGGUGAAGGAACUAGGCAAAAUGGUGCCGUAACUUCGGGAGAAGGCACGCUGACAC
rnacentral:rRNA from 1 species